CCCUGCCGGGUGCGCAGCAGCCCCCAGCAGCUCCUUGUGUGUGUGUCUCUUGGUUUUGAGGGAUGCCCCUGCACUUUCUGGACUUGCAGGAUGACUUACAUGAUUGUUGGUUAGGCGAGUUUCCAAGGUUACGACUGACAACCAAAUAUCCCCAAAGACUGAUAACACCAGGAAGAAAGAUGCUAAGGGCAAUUUCGUCUUUUGGAAAUUCACAUCCGCCAUUCACGCACAGAACCAGUCGGCUCACGUGGACUGUGUCUCCAGUUCAGCUCAAGGCCAGGUAUUAUCAGCUGCACCAAGAGCCACACGCUUGACUAGGUGCGUGAACCCGCAAGCACGCCGACAGAUGGCUAAAUGAAGUGUCCGUCGCAGAUGCAGCCUGGCCUCUGAAAAUGAGACCGCUCUGUCAGCCGCAUCAUCCGUGGCCAGGAUAUUACAAAGCAUGGAGCUGGACUCCACGGAGCCUGUUUCUGCCCCGGAUAUCUGCGCCGGGUGCACUGCUGUCACGGUGACGGCCAAGGCCGACUUUGACAUUCACAGAGAGGCCAUGGCCUGGGGGAAGCUGUGGGCUGGACUCUAAAGUGGUAUUUAAAGUCUUCUGAACAAUCUGGAAUAAUAGCUUAAUAAAGGAGAAAGAAGGUAAGAAAAGAAAUCUGACAUCCAUACUAUUUUUUAAUUCUUUGAAAGAUAAAGAAACAGAAGUCACAAGGACGAGGAGGAGGGGGUAGCGAGGCAAUCAGCCCCCAUGCGCUGCUGUCCACUCACGCGCUCGCAAGGCCAGCCGCCCCAGAGAGCCAGCAUGUGCUGCAUGCCAGCGUGUGUGCUAGCCGGAAGCUAAAACUGGGACUCGAACCCACAUGCUGCAGUGUGGCGUGCCAGCAUCGUAACUGCGGGGCCGACUGCCAGCCUGACACUGGCGCUCCGCGUCGGCUGAGACGAGUCAUUUUGCUUUUGCCGUGGAAGACGUCUCUGACGGCUGCUUUUACCGAGCGGGCUCUGAUCUCCAUGCUCUCUUGUGCAUCGGCUUCUGUGCCUUGCAGUUUCCUGAAACGAAUCAAUCAUGGUGGCGCACUGCUCUCACACGGGACGAGACUGGCUGCAGGGAGACCCCAGCAGGAGACCCCGAGCCGGGCUCGCAGGGCAGUUGUGGGAAAAGCACAUUAGCUCCCCUCCCCAGGGUGGGCGUGUCUCGCUGGGCAGACCCUUGUUUCUAGACUGUUCCCCAGCGACAGCCAGGCUGCACUGAGCCGUGGAAGCCUCUCUGGAUUGAAAAGCCAGGUCCCGCUGCCCUCGGUGCUGCCUUUGUUCUUUUCUCCAUACGUUGCACACAAGGCUGCUUGUUCAUGAAUAUUCUCAUUUCUCUGACCUUCUCUCCCGUCUCCCAGGAUAUGAUACCCCAGCCUCUGCCGGGUCAGGAUGCGUCCUCGGCCAGCUGGAGCCCACACUGUGGAUGGCGACACGGUUAAGCACUGCACCGCAGCCUCCCCGGGGGCGACACUGACACGGGCCAGCACUGCGGGUGCUGGGUGCUGUCCGAGAGCCACGUGCACAAUGCCAGCUUGCGGCGUGCAGGUAAGCAGAGCCUCUGCAGGGGCACGCACAGACACACGGAGGGCCUCUCGGCAGAAACAAAAGGAGGGCUGCAGCCGAGCCGGCCAGAAUCUCAUGCGAAUGCAAAUUGGCAUCUUUUGGUCGCUGCUGAAAUAAAGGUGUAAGUGGCUCCAGGAAUGCUGAGAAUCUGGCUCAUUCUGCCUGCUCACCCCCAGUCUGGCCUGUCCGUGAGCUGGCCGGGAUUCUUGGGGACCAGUUAACGCAGCUAACCUGAUGCUCAUCUUCUGUGGGUUUUUAUAGGGUCUGCAUGGAGUGCUUAAACACCUUUGUGAGUCCCUGAGGGUAGGCGGAAGGGUUAAACAUCCACCAGCCCCCCUCUCCUAGGCAACUGGGAGGUGUGUGUGGUGUCAGUGGGAGGCGUGGGGCAGGCUCACAGCAGAUGGCAGCCCUGCUGCUGGUGACCUGCCUGAUGAUGAAAUCCUUCUAGGCCUUUCUUCAGCUC